CGGACGGGUGAGUAAUGCCUAGGAAUCUGCCUGGUAGUGGGGGACGAACGUUUCGAAAGGAACGCUAAUACCGCAUACGUCCUACGGGAGAAAGCAGGGACCUUCGGGCCUUGCGCUAUCAGAUGAGCCUAGGUCGGAUUAGCUAGUUGGUGAGGUAAUGGCUCACCAAGGCGACGAUCCGUAACUGGUCUGAGAGGAUGAUCAGUCACACUGGAACUGAGACACGGUCCAGACUCCUACGGGAGGCAGCAGAU
rnacentral:rRNA from 1 species